GAGUUUGAUCGUGGCUCAGGAUGAACGCUGGCGGCGUGCUUAACACAUGCAAGUCGAGCGAAGCACCUUGAAGUUUUCGGACUAAGAGGUGACUGAGCGGCGGACGGGUGAGUAACGCGUGGGUAACCUGCCUCAUACAGGGGGAUAACAGUUAGAAAUGGCUGCUAAUACCGCAUAAGCGCACAGCAUCGCAUGAUGCCGUGUGAAAAACUCCGGUGGUAUGAGAUGGACCCCGCGUCUGAUUAGGUA
rnacentral:rRNA from 1 species